UACUUUGCACAGUGGCAAUAUCAUAGCCAAUGAGGUUAAUCCAAGAUGCAAUUAUUGCUAACUGAUUUCCCGCCCCCCAAUAUCCAGCCAUGACAACUUCAAAUAUAGUCAACAAUGGCAAUUUUUGACAGUCUCUCCUGGAGU